rnacentral:rRNA from 1 species
ACGAACGCUGGCGGCGUGGAUAAGACAUGCAAGUCGAACGGGAGAAUUGCUAGCUUGCUAAUAAUUCUCUAGUGGCGCACGGGUGAGUAACACGUGAGUAACCUGCCUCUUAGUGGGGGAUAGCCCUGGGAAACCGGGAUUAAUACCGCAUACGAUUGAAAGAUCAAAGCAGCAAUGCGCUAGGAGAUGGGCUCGCGGCCUAUUAGUUAGUUGGUGGGGUAACGGCUCACCAAGGCGAUGACGGGUAGCCGGUCUGAGAGGAUGUCCGGCCACACUGGAACUGAGACACGGUCCAGACACCUACGGGUGGCAGCAGUCGAGAAUCAUUCACAAUGGGGGCAACCCUGAUGGUGCGACGCCGCGUGGGGGAAUGAAGGUCUUCGGAUUGUAAACCCCUGUCAUGUGGGAGCAAAUUAAAAAGAUAGUACCACAAGAGGAAGAGACGGCUAACUCUGUGCCAGCAGCCGCGGUAAUACAGAGGUCUCAAGCGUUGUUCGGAAUCACUGGGCGUAAAGCGUGCGUAGGCUGUUUCGUAAGUCGUGUGUGAAAGGCAGGGGCUCAACCCCUGGAUUGCACAUGAUACUGCGAGACUAGAGUAAUGGAGGGGGAACCGGAAUUCUCGGUGUAGCAGUGAAAUGCGUAGAUAUCGAGAGGAACACUCGUGGCGAAGGCGGGUUCCUGGACAUUAACUGACGCUGAGGCACGAAGGCCAGGGGAGCGAAAGGGAUUAGAUACCCCUGUAGUCCUGGCAGUAAACGGUGCACGCUUGGUGUGCGGGGAAUCGACCCCCUGCGUGCCGGAGCUAACGCGUUAAGCGUGCCGCCUGGGGAGUACGGUCGCAAGAUUAAAACUCAAAGAAAUUGACGGGGACCCGCACAAGCGGUGGAGUAUGUGGCUUAAUUCGAUGCAACGCGAAGAACCUUACCUGGGCUUGACAUGUAAUGAACAACAUGUGAAAGCAUGCGACUCUUCGGAGGCGUUACACAGGUGCUGCAUGGCCGUCGUCAGCUCGUGUCGUGAGAUGUUUGGUUAAGUCCAGCAACGAGCGCAACCCCUGUUGCCAGUUACCAGCACGUCAAGGUGGGGACUCUGGCGAGACUGCCCAGAUCAACUGGGAGGAAGGUGGGGACGACGUCAGGUCAGUAUGGCCCUUAUGCCCAGGGCUGCACACGUACUACAAUGCCCAGUACAGAGGGGGCCGAAGCCGCGAGGCGGAGGAAAUCCUGAAAACUGGGCCCAGUUCGGACUGUAGGCUGCAACCCGCCUACACGAAGCCGGAAUCGCUAGUAAUGGCGCAUCAGCUACGGCGCCGUGAAUACGUUCCCGGGUCUUGUACACACCGCCCGUCACAUCAUGGAAGCCGGUCGCACCCGAAGUAUCUGAAGCCAACCGCAAGGAGGCAGGGUCCUAAGGUGAGACUGGUAACUGGGAUG